UUUGGGAAUUCCUGAUAUGGUGGAAAGAGCAUGUACCUUAUCUGGGUCAUAAUUUUAACCCAUAUCUGGGUUAAAAUUUUUGGAUUAUUAACUACUGUGUGAACUUAUCUUCUCUGAGCCUCACUUUUAUUUUCUCUAAAUCAAAGAGGACAAUGCCUGUCUCAGAGCUUUAGGAGUUGCCUUACACAUUACUGAGCACCAAGAUUUCCUGCCUUUCCCAGUGGGAGGAUUAUGUUUCUCUGCUCCACUGAUAUCAGAUGUGACCGUGAACUUACGUUGGCCAAUGAAUAGAGGGAAUUUGUUGCAAAUGGUGGCAUCAUCAACUACCCUCAAAGAAAUCUAUUUCUCAGUAUGUUUAAUGAAAAGGAUCAUCAAAGAAAGUGUCGUCCUUCCUGCCUUAUUCAAUGCUGUUUCUCAUCACAUCAGUCACUGUCCUGGGGAUUGUGAGCUUUCCACACCUCUGGUGUUGCUAGCAAAAAACUCAUAGCUGUAACCCCUACUAGAAACAGACAUUUCAAGUACUGCUAUAGGAUUAAUUAAAAGUGCUUUCACCUUAGGAAAAGGGGAAAGUAAAAAUCAUCCACUCAUAAAUGUUACUCAUGAUUCACUCAUUUCCAGCAGCAUCAGAAAGAAAAAUGCCACCUGUAUUCCUAAGAAACUACAGUCUAGGUCUCUGCACACUAAAGCUUGUUGCUUUAGCACUUCAGACUUUUAAAAAUCCUUUUUAGUAAAGAAAAUAAACAACAUUCAUUCACAA